UGUUUGCUUGCCACACAUGCCACUUCUGUGACAGGCCAUGGUAGUGUGUUGUUAUUCCGGUUGCGCUAAUCGUUCAGAGUUUGCAAGUAAAGAAUCUGGCAUAACGUACCACCACUUUCCCCGAGACGAGUCCUUACGAUUGCAAUGGGUGAAUGCGAUCGGGAGACCGGAUUGGGUGCCAACGAAGUACAGCCGAGUGUGCUCAAAACACUUCAGGAACGAGGACUUCGACAGAACGUCGCUAACACGCGUGCGCCUGCGGGAGGGUUCCGUUCCUGUCGCACAUCCGUCGGUUCAAGUUCACCAGGAGGAGCAUGACUUGCCAG